GACUCCUAGUUGAAUGCAGGUGGCCAUGCCUAGGCCAUUUUUGGCCCUGGAAGAGCAAACUCCUGGGAAGGGGGCCCUCAGCCCCACCAUGGGCCAUGAGCCCACUUUCCGUGGCUCCUGGAUGGGUGAGGCCACUGCUCUUCAGCUGGCUUCCCAUUUCCCAUCCCUUCUCCUCAUCUCUCCAACUCCUCUCUGGCAGAGAGGCUUGUCCUGAAACCCUCACUGGGCCAUUUUCCUGCUCAGAACCCUUGUCUACACCCCCUGUCCCACGGUGCCAGGUCCAAACUCCUGGACCCAGCUGUGGAGGUCUCUUGGCACGUCUGACCAUUCUCCGUCUGUCCAGCCCCAAGUGCCCUGCUCUUCUGACACAGGCCAGUGCAGGUCAGCCUCACCUGUCCCCACCAUUCCCGCCAGCGCCUUUGGUGAGGGGUCACGUGGCUCCUAGCUCGGGUCCAGGCCACCUGCCUCCGGACGUCACUCUGCCGCCGCCAGUUUUGGCUGUCCAACUUGGUCUGAAUGAUAUGAGAGAAGAUAGCAUUGCCCCCAAUCACACACUGAGGUGUCCUGGGCAGACACAUCUUCAUCUGUCCCGCCAAGCCUUCCAGUCCACAACUCAGCACCCCGACGUUCGGGCCCCGACUCUGUGGGAGACAUUGGCUGUUACCACACUUGCGGGCUCCCAGCUUCGCUUCUGACAAGAUGCAUUCCCUCAGCGCCUGCUUCAGAAAUCACAGCUUAUGGUGGGCCUCUUGUUUCAGCCGCAAGCAACCGUGAGGCCAGAGCAAUGCCAGGAAAGGGGCGGAUCCUCCAGGACUGUAAAUCUUCUCUUCCUACCAUAAUGUGAAAAGUAUCACCCUGCUUCAAAGAUUGGAGAGCUAUAAACUGUCCAUGUUUUAUAGAGAAAAGGAAUGUCCAUAAAUCCAAUGUUUGUAGGGAAAAUCGGAAAUUUGGUUUUGCACUGAAUUGGAUAAUCAAUGGGAACUGACCUGGAUCAUAGUUGUCAAAGCUAGGCCGUGGAGAAUUGGAAAUAAGAUGAACAAAUGGAGAGACAAGCUCAAUAAUUCUGGAAUUUGCCAUGGAAAAGGAAUUUGGCUAUAAGUGGCUGUUCAUCGUUCACAUCCAACUCGAGGAGAGAGAGGUGCUGAAAUCCAUCUUGGGGGGAAAAUGGGAGGCAGGUCUGAAAUUCAAAGACCUGGAACCUCCCCUUUGCAAGGGAGAUUUGAGCUCCCUCAUUCUCCCCGAAGAGCAAGUGGGCUGACCCAGGUGCUAUGAAACUCUAUCAUAUUAAAGAGACACCCAGUCACCAGAGUUGCCACAAAUCAAAUGUAAAAAAUGGCAGCAUCUUUACUCUUCUUGAUGCCAGUGCUCAUCUCUGAAUCACUGAACACACAUAGACCCUCGAAGCCAGAAAGCCAGACUGGGUCUGAAGAGAUCAUCUUGUCCUCGGCGACCCAGUGGAUGCACCCCGUCCUUCAGAAGUCCCCUCUGGGGCACCUGGAUGGCUCAGUCGUUAAGCGUCUGCCUUCGGCUCAGGUCAUGAUCCCAGGGUCCUGGGAUCGAGUCCCACAUCGGGCUCCCUGCUCCGCGGGAAGCCUGCUUCUCCCUCUCCCACUCCCCCUGCUUGUGUUCCUGCUCUCGCUGUCUCUCUGUCAAAUAAAUAAAUAAAUAAAUAAAUCUUUAAUAGAAGUCCCC